rnacentral:rRNA from 1 species
UACGUAGGGGGCAAGCGUUGUCCGGAAUUACUGGGCGUAAAGGGCUCGUAGGCGGCCAACUAAGUCGGAUGUGAAAUCCCCAGGCUCAACUUGGGAACUGCAUCCGAUACUGGAUGGCUUGAAUUCGGGAGAGGGAUGCAGAAUUCCAGGUGUAGCGGUGAAAUGCGUAGAUAUCUGGAGGAAUACCGGUGGCGAAGGCGGCAUCCUGGACCGACAUUGACGCUGAGGAGCGAAAGCUAGGGGAGCAAACGGG